rnacentral:rRNA from 1 species
GGCGCACGGGUGCGUAACGCGUAUAGAAUCUGCCUUACACAGGGGGAUAGCCCAGAGAAAUUUGGAUUAAUACCCCAUAGUAUAUAAAAACCGCAUGGUUUUUAUAUUAAAGAUUUAUCGGUUAAAGAUGGCUAUGCGUCCCAUUAGCUAGUUGGUAUGGUAACGGCAUACCAAGGCGAUGAUGGGUAGGGGUCCUGAGAGGGAGAUCCCCCACACUGGUACUGAGACACGGACCAGACUCCUACGGGAGGCAGCAGUGAGGAAUAUUGGACAAUGGAGGCAACUCUGAUCCAGCCAUGCCGCGUGCAGGAAGACGGCCUUAUGGGUUGUAAACUGCUUUUGUACAGGAAGAAAAAGUCUUACGUGUAAGACAUUGACGGUACUGUAAGAAUAAGCAUCGGCUAACUCCGUGCCAGCAGCCGCGGUAAUACGGAGGAUGCGAGCGUUAUCCGGAAUCAUUGGGUUUAAAGGGUCCGUAGGCGGUUUAUUAAGUCAGUGGUGAAAGUUUGUGGCUCAACCAUAAAAUUGCCAUUGAUGCUGAUAAACUUGAAUGAGUGUGAAGUAACUAGAAUAUGUAGUGUAGCGGUGAAAUGCAUAGAUAUUACAUAGAAUACCGAUUGCGAAGGCAGGUUACUAACACUUGAUUGACGCUGAUGGACGAAAGCGUGGGGAGCGAACAGGAUUAGAUACCCUGGUAGUCCACGCCGUAAACGAUGGAUACUAGCUGUUUGGAAUUAUAUAUGAGUGGCUAAGCGAAAGUGAUAAGUAUCCCACCUGGGGAGUACGUUGGCAACAAUGAAACUCAAAGGAAUUGACGGGGGCCCGCACAAGCGGUGGAUUAUGUGGUUUAAUUCGAUGAUACGCGAGGAACCUUACCAAGACUUAAAUGUAUGCUGACAGGUUUAGAGAUAGACUUUUCUUCGGACAGUAUACAAGGUGCUGCAUGGUUGUCGUCAGCUCGUGCCGUGAGGUGUUAGGUUAAGUCCUGCAACGAGCGCAACCCCUAUCAUUAGUUGCUAACAUUGAGUUGAGGACUCUAAUGAGACUGCCUACGCAAGUAGAGAGGAAGGUGGGGAUGACGUCAAAUCAUCACGGCCCUUACGUCUUGGGCUACACACGUAAUACAAUGGUAGGUACAGAGGGCAGCUACACAGUGAUGUGAUGCAAAUCUCGAAAGCCUAUCUCAGUUCGGAUUGGAGUCUGCAACUCGACUCUAUGAAGCUGGAAUCGCUAGUAAUCGCGCAUCAGCCAUGGCGCGGUGAAUACGUUCCCGGGCCUUGUACACACCGCCCGUCAAGCCAUGGAAGCUGGGGGUACCUGAAGUCGGUGACCGCAAGGAGCUGCCUAGGGUAAAACUAGUAACUGGGGCUAAGUCGUAACAAGGUAGCC